rnacentral:rRNA from 1 species
UACGGGGGGGGCAAGCGUUGUUCGGAAUUACUGGGCGUAAAGGGCGCGUAGGUGGCCUUCUAAGUUGAACGUGAAAUCCCUGGGCUCAAUCCAGGAACUGCGUCCAAGACUGGGAGGCUUGAAUCCGGGAGAGGGAUGCGGAAUUCCAGGUGUAGCGGUGAAAUGCGUAGAUAUCUGGAGGAACACCGGUGGCGAAGGCGGCAUCCUGGACCGGUAUUGACACUGAGGCGCGAAAGCCAGGGGAGCAAACGGG